rnacentral:rRNA from 1 species
UACAGAGGGUGCGAGCGUUGUCCGGAAUUACUGGGCGUAAAGCGCGCGCAGGUGGUUUCUUAAGUCUGAUGUGAAAGCCCACGGCUCAACCGUGGAGGGUCAUUGGAAACUGGGGAACUUGAGUGCAGAAGAGGAAAGUGGAAUUCCAAGUGUAGCGGUGAAAUGCGUAGAGAUUUGGAGGAACACCAGUGGCGAAGGCGACUUUCUGGUCUGUAACUGACACUGAGGCGCGAAAGCGUGGGGAGCGAACAGG